rnacentral:rRNA from 1 species
UGCGUAGGCGGAAAUAUAAGUCAGAUGUGAAAUCCCGAGGCUUAACCUCGGAGCUGCAUCUGAAACUAUAUUUCUAGAGGGAUGGCGGAGAAAAUGGAAUUCCACGUGUAGCGGUGAAAUGCGUAGAUAUGUGGAAGAACACCUGUGGCGAAAGCGGUUUUCUAGCUUCCCCCUGACGCUGAGGCACGAAAGGCAAGGGGAAUCAAACA